UCGUAAAAAUAAUUAACAAUUAAAUUAAGUUUUUAAACUUCUAUGUCUAUAUAACUGAAAUAUGGAUAGGUACUAAUAUUUAUAUUUUAAUUGGUCCUAUACUUUACUGUAAUUCACAAUAGAUUCAUUUUAAACAGGUUACUGCAAGUUUGCCAAGCAGUAUAAAACCGAUUAGUUACGCAUGAACGAAGUAAAGCAAUGAUCCGGCGACUUGAAUAGGCAAUAUAGUCAUUGUUCAAAUAUCUAUGGAAAAUGUAUAGUCUGUACUCUGUUUUCAAAAUAACAUAAAAUAUGUUAAACCAUCGAGCAAUCAAUGUAGAUAUCUGUGACACAUUUGAAACGCAAUUGUCUAUGGGAAUUAAGAAUUUCAAACAGUAAGCCCGGUGGAUUAAAAUAGAAACCUACAAUUCGACAUGACUGGAUUUAUAAUGUAGGCAAUAGAUAUAUCGUGUAUAAUAUAAACAUUCAUAAAUACGUAUGUGUAUGUUUAUGUCAGUGUGAUAGAAAUUGAUGAUGAAUGAAACAAAUGUAAGCCUAA